rnacentral:rRNA from 1 species
ACUCCUACGGGAGGCAGCAGUGGGGAAUUUUGGACAAUGGGCGCAAGCCUGAUCCAGCAAUGCCGCGUGCAGGAUGAAGGCCUUCGGGUUGUAAACUGCUUUUGUACGGAACGAAAAGUCUUGGGUUAAUACCCUGGGAUCAUGACGGUACCGUAAGAAUAAGCACCGGCUAACUACGUGCCAGCAGCCGCGGUAAUACGUAGGGUGCAAGCGUUAAUCGGAAUUACUGGGCGUAAAGCGUGCGCAGGCGGUUUUGUAAGACAGUGGUGAAAUCCCCGGGCUCAACCUGGGAACUGCCAUUGUGACUGCAAGGCUGGAGUGCGGCAGAGGGGGAUGGAAUUCCGCGUGUAGCAGUGAAAUGCGUAGAUAUGCGGAGGAACACCGAUGGCGAAGGCAAUCCCCUGGGCCUGCACUGACGCUCAUGCACGAAAGCGUGGGGAGCAAACAGGAUUAGAUACCCUGGUAGUCCACGCCCUAAACGAUGUCAACUGGUUGUUGGGAAUUUAUUUUCUCAGUAACGAAGCUAACGCGUGAAGUUGACCGCCUGGGGAGUACGGCCGCAAGGUUAAAACUAAAAGGAAUUGACGG